UCGAGGGGUAGGAGAGCUUGCUCUCCCUAGACCGGCGUACGGGUGCGUAACACGUGUACAAUCUACCUUUUACUAAGGGAUAGCCCGAAGAAAUUUGGAUUAAUACCUUAUAGUAUUAUUUUAUGGCAUCAUUAAAUAAUUAAAGCUACGGUGGUAAAAGAUGAGUACGCGUCCCAUUAGCUAGUUGGAGUGGUAACGGCACACCAAGGCUACGAUGGGUAGGGGUUCUGAGAGGGAUGUCCCCCACACUGGUACUGAGACACGGACCAGACUCCUACGGGAGGCAGCAGUGAGGAAUAUUGGACAAUGGUCGGAAGACUGAUCCAGCCAUGCCGCGUGCAGGAUGACGGCCUUAUGGGUUGUAAACUGCUUUUAUACAGGAAGAAUAAGGUCUACGAGUAGAUUGAUGACGGUACUGUAUGAAUAAGCAUCGGCUAACUCCGUGCCAGCAGCCCGCGGUAAA
rnacentral:rRNA from 1 species